AGAGGUUUAGGUUAAACUAGACCAAGAGCCUUCAAAGCUCUAAGCAAGUGUUGUUCACUUAACCCCUG